rnacentral:snRNA from 1 species
UGGGAUGAGCCAAGCCCGUGCAG